AGCUGCAGAAGAAGCACCGGCUAACUCCGUGCCAGCAGCCGCGGUAAUACGGAGGGUGCGAGCGUUAAUCGGAAUUACUGGGCGUAAAGACGCAUGCAGGUGGUUUGUUAAGUUCAGAUGUGAAAGACCCGGGGCGUCAACCUCGGAAUUGCAUUUGUAAACUAGGCAGACUAGAGUACUGUAGAGGGGGGUAGGAAUUUCUAGGUGUAGCGGUGAAAUAGCGUAGAGAUCUGAAGGAAUACCGGUGGCGAAGGCGGCCCCCUCGGACAGAUACUGACACUCAGAUGCGAAAGCGUGGGGAGCAAACAGGAUUAGAUACCCUGGUAG
rnacentral:rRNA from 1 species